AACGCGUAGGUAAUCUAUCCUUACAUUUGGGAUAACAUUGGGAAACUGGUGCUAAUACCGAAUGGUCUUCAUUGCUUUGGGGCGAUGGAGUAAAGGUGGCCUCUUCAUGAAAGCUACCGUGUAGGGAUGAGCCUGCGUACCAUUAGCUAGUAGGUGGGGUAAUGGCCCACCUAGGCUACGAUGGUUAGCGGGUCUGAGAGGAUGAUCCGCCACACUGGAACUGAAACACGGACCAG
rnacentral:rRNA from 1 species